GGGGUGGUAGUGGGGUGGUGGUAGUGGGGUGGUAGUGGGGUGGUAGUGAGGUGGUAGUGGGGUGGUAGUGAGGUGGUAGUGAGGUGGUAGUGGGGUGGUAGUGGGGUGGUUGUGAGGUGGUAGUGAGGUGGUAGUGAGGUGGUAGUGGGGUGGUAGUGAGGUGGUGGUAGUGGGGUGGUAGUGAGGUGGUAGUGAGGUGGUGGUAGUGAGGUGGUAGUGGGGUUGUAGUGGGGUGGUGGUAGUGGGGUGGUAGUGAGGUGGUAGUGGGGUGGUAGUGGGGUGGUAGUCGGGUGGUAUUGUAUGUAAAAGGGUGAGUGAUCGUCCCCUGAUAUGGAGCUGAAAGAAACUCUGGAGUCUAAAAGCAGAGUCAGUCUGCUGCUGCUGUGAGUCAGAGAGACUGAGA
ensembl:lncRNA